GACGAACCGUGCGAACGUUGUUCGGAAUCACUGGGCAUAAAGGGCGCGUAGGCGGCUUAUCAAGUCAGGGGUGAAAUCCGGCAGCUUAACUGUCGAAGUGCCCUUGAUACUGAUGAGCUCGAGGGAGAUAGGGGUGUGUGGAACUUCCGGUGGAGCGGUGAAAUGCGUUGAUAUCGGAAGGAACGCCGGUGGCGAAAGCGACACACUGGAUCUCUUCUGACGCUGAGGCGCGAAAGCCAGGGGAGCAAACGGG
rnacentral:rRNA from 1 species